UUAAACCUCAUGUUCUUACACUCUGAUGAUGAUGAUGUUGAAGAAAUCGAAGACCUAAGCACACGAACCAUUCCUGAUCCUUUCAACACAAUUGAGAUCUCACAAGCCCAUGGGUUCCAGUGAGGUCCCAUCAUCGAUGCUUGAGUUAGAUUCACCAUGGAGACUCCAACCAUUGAGCCGCUUAACACUUCUAGAUCCUUCCUGUUAAUCGUUAUAGUACGACCGUUAGGGCUCUGGAAGUCAGGUUCCGAUUCGAAGACAUUGAAUGUCUUUGCUUUCUUUGUCUUCUUCUCCUUCUUCUUGUUCUCCGCUGCGCUAACAUAUCCGGCAAAGAGUUUGAGUAACCGCGGUUGGAGCUGCCACGUGUAGGUGUUGGCCUCACCAGGCGUGCUCAGCAUGUCAUGCACGAUCAGUGGUGGCUGCGUACGGUUCGUCAUCAGACCAAUAAUUUCCUCAGGAACCUGAUUAAAUCUAAUGAAUCCAAUUAACACAAAGGAAAAGCGCGUCUACUAGAGUAGCUUGAGAGGCAAGGUAUACACAUAUUUGUAUCUUGCAGCUCAAGUGACCUAAUAUCAUCUCUAGUACUACAAAGUAUAAACCAUAUAUUAGCAAAUAUAUCCAUACCCCAAAAGCUGACUGGAGAAUGGUCUCAUCAAAACCAAACAAUAGAUCUGUGAUGCUCGAAUACGCACCAAAGCAAGGAUCCUGCAUCCACAAUAAGAAGAAAAAUAUAAAACAAACAAAUGAAGAAAAUUAAAUUAAAAAAAAAUACACCAAAAAAAAUAUAAAUAAAUAAAUGAAGAAAAUUAAAAUAAAUUCCUAGCUGAAGUAGUAAACCCAAUGAACACUAAUGACUCAUUUAUAAAAGACAUUUGAGCCAUUGGAUGUAACCGUGGAACUGCGAAAAUAUCUCCUUCCUCUACCUUAAACCUCAUGUUCUUACACUCUGAUGAUGAUGAUGUUGAAGAAAUCGAAGACCUAAGCACACGAACCAUUCCUGAUCCUUUCAACACAAUUGAGAUCUCACAAGCCCAUGGGUUCCAGUGAGGUCCCAUCAUCGAUGCUUGAGUUAGAUUCACCAUGGAGACUCCAACCAUUGAGCCGCUUAACACUUCUAGAUCCUUCCUGUUAAUCGUUAUAGUACGACCGUUAGGGCUCUGGAAGUCAGGUUCCGAUUCGAAGACAUUGAAUGUCUUUGCUUUCUUUGUCUUCUUCUCCUUCUUCUUGUUCUCCGCUGCGCUAACAUAUCCGGCAAAGAGUUUGAGUAACCGCGGUUGGAGCUGCCACGUGUAGGUGUUGGCCUCACCAGGCGUGCUCAGCAUGUCAUGCACGAUCAGUGGUGGCUGCGUACGGUUCGUCAUCAGACCAAUAAUUUCCUCAGGAACCUGAUUAAAUCUAAUGAAUCCAAUUAACACAAAGGAAAAGCGCGUCUACUAGAGUAGCUUGAGAGGCAAGGUAUACACAUAUUUGUAUCUUGCAGCUCAAGUGACCUAAUAUCAUCUCUAGUACUACAAAGUAUAAACCAUAUAUUAGCAAAUAUAUCCAUACCCCAAAAGCUGACUGGAGAAUGGUCUCA
rnacentral:lncRNA from 1 species